CGGCCAGACCACUCUGAACGUGCACAAAUCUCAUCUGCUCCUGGAAGCUAAAUGGGGUUGGGCCUGGCUAGUACUGGGAUAGGAGACUGUAUUUAUGAGCACCUGCUCUGAAAGAU
rnacentral:rRNA from 1 species